rnacentral:rRNA from 1 species
AGCAGCCGCGGUAAUUCCAGCUCCAAUAGCGUAUAUUAAAGUUGUUGCAGUUAAAAGCUCGUAGUUGAAUUUCGGGGUUCAUCCGUUGGUCGGGCUUUUUAGUCUGUACUGGCGUGAUGGAUUCCUACCUUCUGAAUAACCAGCAUGUCAUUAAUUUGGUGCGCUGGGGAAGCAGGACUGUUACCUUGAAAAAAUUAGAGUGCUUAAAGCAGGCUAUCGCCUGAAUACAUUAGCAUGGAAUAAUGAAAUAGGACGGCAUGGUUCUAUUUUGUUGGUUUCUAAGAUCACCGUAAUGAUUAAUAGGGAUAGUUGGGGGCAUUAGUAUUCAAUUGUCAGAGGUGAAAUUCUUGGAUUUAUUGAAGACUAACUUCUGCGAAAGCAUUUGCCAAGGAUGUUUUCAUUAAUCAAGAACGAAAGUUAGGGGAUCGAAGACGAUCAGAUACCGUCGUAGUCUUAACCAUAAACUAUGCCGACUAGGGAUCGGACGAUGUUAAUUUUUUAAUGACUCGUUCGGCGCCUU